CUGGGGUCUGUCUUUGCAGAGGUGCCAGGCCACAUGCCCUGCCCACCUCUACCAGCUAUGCCGCCUCUGAAGUUCCUCCAGCGGCACUGAGGAGGGGCCCUGUGGUCGAGGGUGCAGUUAAACGAGGCCCGACCGGGUAGUUGAGCUCAGCUUGGCUGUACUUGUCUUCCUUGGACCUGCUGGGCACCCCCAGGCCUCUCUUUCCAGAGCCACAGGGGCCACCUGACAUCUCACAGGCUCAUCUACCUUCCAAGACCAGCUCAUCACUUCUGGCACCCCUCUCUAUAGUUGCCUCCCAAAGUCUCCCAUCUUAUACCCACGGCCCCCUGGGCAUCAAGCUGGACAUCUGGGAACAACCUUCAGCACCAAGUCCC
rnacentral:lncRNA from 1 species